AUUGAACGCUGGCGGCAUGCUUUACACAUGCAAGUCGAACGGUAACAGGCCUUCGGGUGCUGACGAGUGGCGAACGGGUGAGUAAUGCAUCGGAACGUACCCAGAGGUGGGGGAUAACGCAGCGAAAGCUGUGCUAAUACCGCAUGUGAUCUGAGGAUGAAAGCGGGGGACCGAGCAGCAAUGUUUGGCCUCGCGCCUUUGGAGCGGCCGAUGUCGGAUUAGCUAGUUGGUGGGGUAAAGGCCUACCAAGGCGACGAUCCGUAGCUGGUCUGAGAGGACGACCAGCCACACUGGGACUGAGACACGGCCCAGACUCCUACGGGAGGCAGCAGUGGGGAAUUUUGGACAAUGGGCGCAAGCCUGAUGCAGCAAUGCCGCGUGCGGGAAGAAGGCCUUCGGGUUGUAAACCGCUUUUGGCAGGAACGAAACGGUGUCCGCUAAUACCGGGCGCUAAUGACGGUACCUGCAGAAUAAGCACCGGCUAACUACGUG
rnacentral:rRNA from 1 species